GAAAAGCACAUGGAAAAAGCUCAUCUUCAGGGGAAACAAGAAAAUGAGUCUGUAGAUCACUUGAAAAGCCCUGAUUUCCUGAGCAGAAGCUGCCCUCCUUCAUGGUGGAUGAAUGAAGAGCUGCACUCGUGGAGCCAGAACAUUUUGACCAGCUGGUAGCGGAUUGAGCAAGCAGCUGCAGCACAGUCCCCAGAAGGAGGAAACUGCCCUUCCUCUCAAGGAAGUCAAGCCAUUCGCCAAGCCUGACUGAAGCUGAAGAUGGACAGAUUGCUUUACUGUACUGCACAACCUGGGAGGCUAAUUCUGUAACAGAAGGGAAGAGAUGAGACCUGCAAAUGGUGGGCCCAACACACAGGCAGUUCUUAAACAAAUGACAAUGUGUGAAAAUAACUAACCAUGCUUAAGGGAAGAAAAGUGAAAGAUUAACUGAUAUACUGAACGAGCAGUGCAUGCCCAAAGAGUUUACAAGAAACACAUACAAAGAUAUUGCUCCGAGAAAAGAAAUGCUUCUUUACCGCUUACUUAAAUUUCAGUUUUUGCUUCUCGAUACCAUCUUUCAACGUAGUCCUGAAUUAAACUGCCGCAUCCACAUUGCAUUUAUAAAAACCACUAGUCUAAAUUUUCAGUAUUCUCCCACCUUGACAUAAGUGGAAGCAAAAUACUUUCUUAUUGUGACGUUUAAAAACGCAACAACCAGGAAAAUGUGAUUCAUUUGGGUUUAUCCAGAGGACGUAACACCUGUGUGAAUGCAGGGUCGCACUUUUAGGUCACCCCGGCACCAAGUCAUGUUUCAACAUACGAACUCUU